rnacentral:misc_RNA from 1 species
GACCGCCACCUGCCCACGUGGUGUUGACACGCGCAUAGCAACAUAACUAGGGUGUGAGAAAGUGCGUGAAGGACACUGCAAGACGGGUUUCACAUGCGAGGCCACCUCCUUCCCGACUUGUUUUGCUCCUUCACUGGCUGUAUCUCUCUCUCCCCGUUAUUAUACAUUUCCUUAUCUCAGCUCUUGCUGUGGUCACCGUGUAAAGCAUAAUGGAAGAAAAGAAGGACAAGUACGAGCAGCUGCUCGCCAAGGUGGACUGGCACGCUCCACACCCGCCGAAGGGCUAUCAAUACGGUGCCGGUCGUGGGGCGAAGGGCUUUAUCACAACAGCCGAGCUCACCACCGGCGUUAACACAACGGCAAAGAUGACGCGAGACGAGAACGAUUUCUUUGCCGCUAUGGAGCGACUGGAGGAGCGCACACGAAAACCCAAGCGCGAGGACGAUGGAGCAGCAGCAAAUCAGGUUGCCGGGCGCCACAGCAGCGGGGCGUCGAGCAACCAUGCAGACCGCAGCGCUCCCGCGAAGGUGAAGCUCUCGCUGGAGGACCUUGCCACGCUGGAGGCCGUACCCUUGCCCACUGCGGCAAAGCCAAUCACCGCUGCAGGCUCGCCGAGCGCCUGCUCAGUGCCCGCCCCAUCUGGGCCCUUGACAACGGCGAACUCGUCACUGCCUGCGCCUGCCUCAGGCCCCUCAGCCCCGCUAGUGGUUCGCAGCGCUCGGACAGAGGAGGGCGAGGCUGCCGAGGAGCAUGUCUUUGCUGAGGAGCGUGUUUUGACAGCCUACGACGUCCUGAAGGGCAAGGCAUCUGCUGUACAGACCGGCCUGCACAACGUACUCGCGAUGGGGUCGACCGAGGAGCAGACGACCUGGAUCACCCACGCGCGCGCCUACCGCGAGAUGGGAAUGACGCGUCGCGCGUAUCAGACGCUCGUGGAUGGGUGCGCUGUGACUGGCAGGAAGGGCAAGCGCAUUUGGGAGGAGCGGCUGCGCUACCUCGCUAAGGACAACUACGCCGGACGUCGUCGCCUGCUUGAGGAGGCCACGUCAGCGUGCCCGACGGAGGAGGAGCUCUGGACACAGCUGCUUGACUGCAUACCCUCGCUCGAGAGAGUGCCGUGCCUUCAGCGAGCGGUGCUGGCGUGCCCGUCGAGCGAGCACCUGUGGCUGCGCCUGGUCCAGUACGUGCCGUCCUUGCAGGACCAGCGCGCGUUGCUACAGAAGGCGCUGCAGCACACGCCCACACUGCCGCUGCUGUGGGCACGCCUGGCGCGGCUGGAGACAUAUCAGACAGGCAAAGAAAUGUUCCAGGCGGCGGCGGCGCGUUAUCCCUCCCUGGCGCUCAUCAUUGAGGCCGCCAAGUACGUGGAGUGGCACGAGCUCGCGCACUACUGGGCCUGCCGAUUUGCGCCCACGAUCACGGCCUCACAGCUCGCGGAGAAUCGUGAAAGUCAAGUGUUGGAAGCCGAGAAAGACGGUGCGGGCAGCGCGGCGUCCAUGGCGGCGAUGUACGCAGCCGUGCAAAGGGCAGACACGGAGGUGCGUGACCUGGUGCGCACCGCCCAGCGUAACUACCUCGACCUGAGCGAGGCGGGGUCGCGGCACGCCUGGCUCUCACUCGCGCUCUCGCUGCUUCACAAGGACGACGCGAAGGGCCACCGUGGGAUCGAGGCGUCGAAUAGAAACGGAGAGGCGACGGAGACCUCUCGCGCGGCGACCGCAGCGCCAAGCGUGUACGUGUGCACGGCUGCGCACAUGUUUCUCUGUAUCGUGGAUCCUAAUGACAAGAAGGGCGCGGCGCAUACCAUUCCUGCAACGUGGCUCGAGGACCUUGUGGCGCUUCUCCCUGCCGACGCUGCGAGUCGUCACAGUGUGCAGUGCGUGCUCUGGUACUCGUGGCUGCAGCUGCAGCGGCAGCAGCUUGAGUCGAUGAACACCAGCAAUGAGUCCUCAGAGGCGCUGACGGUCGUGGGCAGCAGCGCCACGGCGGCGAUCGCCAGAUCUACUGCUACCGUGACGCCUCGCGACAUUCUGCCUGUGCUUUCAUCCGCAGUACUGUCGGCUUCUACCGCUGUUUUGCACGACGACCUGCCUGUACUGUGGUGCUGCGGCAGGGAGAGCUCAGCGAGAACGGAAGACGGUGCUGCGGUGCCAUCAACAGCGCGUCAACCGGCAGUAGCACAUGCAGCUCUCGGUGCCCGCAGCGAGGAGCAGAGGGUGGCGGAGGAGGAUGAGGAGGAGGAGCUUGGGAAGCCGUGUGUGGCGCCAGCGGCCGCUUCGACGACGCCUGCGCCUGUGAAAGCGAAGGCGGCAGACCUUGAAUCUGAGCUUCCGCUUCCUCCUCCGUUGAUAGUAGCGCUGGCCUCUCUGCUUGGCAGCGCCACGCAUGUCGCCGCCGCAGCGGCAGGCUUACUCGCUGGCGCUUCGCUCGGUUCCCAGGGGUUGAGCGCACAGCUCAAUGCGGCGCCCAGCGUCCCGGCCAACGCGCGCGCAAGGUCGCAGCUCAGCCUGGCAUUGGAGCUUCUUCUUGUGGAGGUGCCACUGGCUGUGUCCGACGCCCUGUACCGCCGCGGCUGCUUUGCGGCAGCCCUCUCUUUCAUUGAUCGGCUUUUGCACACCAUCAACUCUAGCGCAACAGAGCAGACCGCUGGCGCCCUGCGCCUGUACGUGGCACGCUCGAAAAUGCUGGCCGCCGUCGGUGACACAACGGCGGCGGAUGCCUGCUUGGUCAGCGCGAUUGCUGCAGCGAAGGGUGCCGCGGCAACUGUGCAGCAGCAGCAGCGUGAGGAGGAGGUGUGGGUAAAGCUUGCCGUGUUGCGCCGCAGUCAAGGACAGCCAAUUGAUGCGCUGCUGGUGGACGCGCUGCAACGAUUCCCGCGCUCGUCACGACUGUGGCUCAUGCGGCUCGAGGAGAAGCGGCGCGCAAUCCAGCAGCGACAGGACGUUCUGGCGCCGACCUCGACUGGGGUGCCCGUGAUUGACCUGCUGCGGCAAGACGAGUCUCUUGCCAGUGACGUUCGGGAUCUUCGCGUGCUGUGCAAGAAGGCGCUCGCUCCUGAUCACUGCCGGGCCGUGGCGGCAGUGUGGGUCUUUGUGGCUGCCCGUGUGGAGGCGGAGCUGUUGCAAAACGUAGCGGCGGCGCGGGCGUCGCUGACCGAUGCGCUGGCGGCGUGUGCGGCGGAUCUGCAGAGUACGCGAUCGCACGUCUUGGCGCGGGGUGUGUCGGCCCAGGAACUCGAGAGACAAGCCAGCGCCGUUGCCCGCAUCGGUGCAACGCAGGCCAUGCUUGAUGUGCAGUACGGCACGCCAGGGCAGGCGCUGGAAAUGGUGCAGGAGGUGCUGCAGAAGCUGCCCAAGACGCGCGAGGGGACCUUUGCCAUGGCGCAGGACGAUGCCGUUGGUGAGUUGCUGGGACUCUUUAUUUCACUGGAGCCGCCCGCGUCCCGUGGCCGAGCCGCCGCGCAGGUGAUGCGUCAGUGGAAGUCACGUGAGCCACUCGCCUUGUGCGCGGUGGCGCAGCUGUACUACGCCGCUGGACAGUACGCUCGAGCGCUGGAUCAAGCGAAGAAGGCGGUGCAGCUGAGCAAGGGCCGCUGCGGCGAUGCGGUGGGACUGCUGUGGCGGAUGGCAGAGUCGCCCGCGAUGCAGCCCCUCGUGCGCGAGGUAUUGGCGGGAAAGACGGGAGAGGAUUCUGAACGGAGCGGUGAGGGCGAAAAACGUGUCGAUGCGCUUUCUGAUGCCGCCCCGGUCGCUCAGCUCACUGCGGAGGCUAUUCAGCAGUGGGUGUUUUCCUUCAUGAACACCAGCGCUGACGCUGGUGUAGGCAGCAGCUCUAUCAGCGGUGCGCGCUGCGCGCUGGCGACCGAAGAUGACGCUCCAGCGGUGUCGACUGGGAUCCCGGCUACGCCCCUCAUCGUGGUUCCCAACAGCGGUCCUCUCUGGAUCACGGUCGCCAAGGCAGAAGACCCUAGCAACGUGACGCUCCUCGGAUAUCGUCGGCCAGUGGCCGAGAUGCUUCGCGACGUUGCCAAUCGCAUCAUUCUCAAGGGCCCAGAGUCGGCGAGCGCCGCGACACACGCGUAGUACGCCGCGUUGCGCCCAGGAGCCUACACAUACUCGCUCCACCUGAGCGUGUGAGGCUUGAUGGCCUCCCCGUGAGGAGCACAUUAUAUCUCGACCAAGGCAUGAACAGAUGCGCACAGGCAGAUACACCGAGUCACGUGGGUGGAGCACUGAACAGGGGGCCACUAAGAGCUCGCACUGUGGCGGAGCGUAUCGGCACAAGGGGGCUUUUAGCGGGUCCGAGUGAAUGAGUGUACCCCCCUCCCCUCACCUCUACCCACUACUUCCCACGAACUCACGCGAGCAGGCAUCGGAUCUCGCGCCACUUGCACUGCCUUGGGUAACACUUUCGAGGGGAGGGGGUGCGUGUUGAGAGAGGCAGGGGUGCAACGCCGCCUACAUCAUCUCGCUCAUGCGCCCCCACCCCCCACCCCUCUUUCAGUCAAUCUCUCUCUCGCGCCCACCUUCGCUUCUCCAUCUCUAUCUGUGUGUGUGUGCCCUCCGCCCUCCCCCCUUUCAUUUCCUUUUGCUCUCGGUGAUCGGGCUCGACAACAACUUGUGACUACUGCACGCACUUGUCGAAUUAACCUGCUCACUUCACGGGGCUCUGCACGCUCUCCCUUACCCCGCAG